rnacentral:rRNA from 1 species
AGAGCUUGAUCCUGGCUCAGGACGAACGCUGGCGGCUCGCCUAACACAUGCAAGUCGAACGAGCGAGAGAGAGCUUGCUUUCUCGAGCGAGUGGCGAACGGGUGAGUAACGCGUGAGGAACCUGCCUCAAAGAGAGGGACAACAGUUGGAAACGACUGCUAAUACCGCAUAAGCCCACGACCCGGCAUCGGGUAGAGGGAAAAGGAGCAAUCCGCUUUGAGAUGGCCUCGCGUCCGAUUAGCUAGUUGGUGAGGUAACGGCCUACCAAGGCGACGAUCGGUAGCCGGACUGAGAGGUUGAACGGCCACAUUGGGACUGAGACACGGCCCAGACUCCUACGGGAGGCAGCAGUGGGGAAUAUUGCACAAUGGGGGAAACCCUGAUGCAGCGACGCCGCGUGGAGGAAGAAGGUCUUCGGAUUGUAAACUCCUGUUGUUGAGGAGGAUAAUGACGGUACUCAACAAGGAAGUGACGGCUAACUACGUGCCAGCAGCCGCGGUAAAACGUAGGUCACAAGCGUUGUCCGGAAUUACUGGGUGUAAAGGGAGCGCAGGCGGGAAGACAAGUUGGAAGUGAAAUCCAUGGGCUCAACCCAUGAACUGCUUUCAAAACUGUUUUUCUUGAGUAGUGCAGAGGUAGGCGGAAUUCCCGGUGUAGCGGUGGAAUGCGUAGAUAUCGGGAGGAACACCAGUGGCGAAGGCGGCCUACUGGGCACCAACUGACGCUGAGGCUCGAAAGUGUGGGUAGCAAACAGGAUUAGAUACCCUGGUAGUCCACACUGUAAACGAUGAUUACUAGGUGUUGGAGGAUUGACCCCUUCAGUGCCGCAGUUAACACAAUAAGUAAUCCACCUGGGGAGUACGACCGCAAGGUUGAAACUCAAAGGAAUUGACGGGGGCCCGCACAAGCAGUGGAGUAUGUGGUUUAAUUCGACGCAACGCGAAGAACCUUACCAAGUCUUGACAUCCCUUGACGAUGCUGGAAACAGUAUUUCUCUUCGGAGCAAGGAGACAGGUGGUGCAUGGUUGUCGUCAGCUCGUGUCGUGAGAUGUUGGGUUAAGUCCCGCAACGAGCGCAACCCUUAUCCUCAGUAGCCAGCAGGUCAAGCUGGGCACUCUGUGGAGACUGCCAGGGAUAACCUGGAGGAAGGUGGGGAUGACGUCAAAUCAUCAUGCCCCUUAUGAUCUGGGCUACACACGUGCUACAAUGGCGUAAACAAAGGGAGGCAAAGCCGCGAGGUGGAGCAAAUCCCAAAAAUAACGUCUCAGUUCGGACUGCAGUCUGCAACUCGACUGCACGAAGCUGGAAUCGCUAGUAAUCGCGAAUCAGAAUGUCGCGGUGAAUACGUUCCCGGGUCUUGUACACACCGCCCGUCACACCAUGGGAGUUGGUAACGCCCGAAGUCAGUGACCCAACCUUUUAGGAGGGAGCUGCCGAAGGCGGGACUGAUAACUGGGGUGAAGUCGUAACAAGGUA